ensembl:lncRNA
UGACCAUGAAGAAACCUACUCGUGAUAGUCAGUAUACUCCAAGUAAUAAUAUAAGUGAAUAAUGUUUUACAGUCACUUUGAAUCAGUCUCUUCUUCCAGCUCUAAUCCAUCCGUAUCCAGUUAGAGCAGACUCCUCCAAGGAGUUCUACCAGCAAAACCUCAGAUAUAUUGCGCAGAACAGGAGCGGAACAUAAGGAAACAUCACUUCGGCUUCGCCCAUCUCCCGUGUCCCUGGCAGCAUGGAGGAGGGGUGCAGGACAUCACCUUUGUGGCCUGAUUUGUCCCCACAGGAAGGUCUCUUUGGUCUCCUAGGCUGGCAGCAACAUCAAAAGGAAUUCAGGCUCACCUGGUCACAGUCUGGCCAUCACAUUUUUAUAGGAACAAAGAAAGAUGCGCCCAGUAUGAGCGAGGCUGCCCAGCGCCCUGCCAAAGUGAUGGGACUGCUGCCCGGGGCACUGCACUCCUCUACCACCGGCCCUUGCUCUGCAGCAUCAGCAUCAGCUCUGCGAUGGGAGCCAGGUGGGUUGGAAGACAAGAGCUCGCAGCAUCAGGUCCAGGUGGGUGCCCCCGUUGUCGUGGUCUAUCCCCAUGGACUGGGUUUCUUCAGGACUCAGAGACUGACGCUUCAGUCUUGAGAUGGGGAAAUUUUCGUCUCGACUCUCCUUAAAUCUUUCUGCAGCGAGAGAUUUCAAGUCAAAUGUGUUUCCGCACACUUUUCCUGAGAAGGCGGAUUUACAUAUGCAUUAGGUUCAUUUUAUCAGAAUACACACACAGCAGUGACACAUCUCAUUGACAAUGUGCUGUCUGAUGGAUAACUCCAUACAAAACACACAUUUGAAAGGAAAAUAGGAGGAGGAAUAGGAUUAAGAGUCUGUACAUAAGUGACAUCAUGUUUUGUGAAGAUGAACUGUGGGAAUGUCUUGCCCUACUUUGUAUUUUUUGAUUACUCAGAGAUCCAACAAGUCCUUUGCAAGUGUAAGAAAUACUAACGUACAGCGUCACCAUAUAGAAACUACCAGGACAAAGUUUUUCCUCACAGGAAUUUGUCACGUACUGCAUUUGAUAAUCACGGGAUAAAGGAAAAAUGAGAAGGGAAAAGGGGGAAAAAAAUAGUGACUUGAGUUUUGCCUGUUCCUAAACUUAGAUUUUUUGAUACCGCAUCUCCACGUUGAUUUAUUUUUGCCAUCAUCCAGACAGUUCCGUGCUGUGAUUUUGUUUUUCAAAGGCUGGCAGAAAUGUUUACAUAUCAGGAGACCGGGGAGAACAACAACAGGAGGGCAGCAUCAGGCUGUUACCCCUCCGGGCUUCUAUCUGUGUCUGACCGGGGUGGUGCUUAUAAAGUUCUGUUGUUGCGGUGGUGAG